AUGGAUGAGCAAGAUCACGACGGGCUGCGACAUCAUGAGGCGGCGGCAGAGUCGUCGGUGCCGUUGCUGGAGAAGAAGGCCCGCGGCGUGUUGUGCGUGGAGGGGUGCCCCGGGUGCGCGAUUGACCGGAGGAAGGCGGAGAACCCGGGCAUCCCCUACAGCAGCUUCCUGUACGUAUGGGUCAUCACCCUAAGCACCGGUGAGUGCUACUACUACGACUCCAUCGAUCAACACCGCUAG
rnacentral:rRNA from 1 species